ensembl:antisense Nr6a1os nuclear receptor subfamily 6, group A, member 1, opposite strand
UUAAACUGACAAACUCAUUUUUCUACUGGGACAGGAUGCUGUGCUGGCUGAAGUUCCAUUUCUACAGCAAGAAUCCUAUCUGGAAGCACAGAAGUUGUCCUCUAGCCACAGCAGCUCCAACUUUUUUGUUGUUGCUGCUUUCUUCUAUCACCCCCUUCCCCUUUUGACAAAGAUCCAACUGUAGAAAGUCUUACGUAACAGUUCAGGACUACUUCGGUUCUUUUACCGGUGAAAUGAAGCUGUGAUAAUGUGGUAAAUAUGGGGAGACACCAAGCUGUGGCUCUUGCGGACUUCAGCAGCACUGAAAUGCAACACUGUGGGCUUUUGGCAGCUGCAUUCCGUACUCUGAAAUUCUUAUAUCAUUACUCUGGCAAACAAGAAGGAAUUUGCUUGUUUGAUUUAGCUCUGCAGUAAAGGUUCAAAUCUGAGACUGGUAAAGGAAGGAGAAAGCAACAUAUCCAACCAAUACUGGAACAAUGAACUCUGGUGUUCAAGUUCUGGCUAUGGAACUCCGGGUAAGUCUCUG